rnacentral:rRNA from 1 species
CAUUACCUAGAGUUUGUAGACUUCGGUCUGCUACCUCUUACCCAUGUCUUUUGAGUACCUUCGUUUCCUCGGCGGGUCCGCCCGCCGAUUGGACAACAUUCAAACCCUUUGCAGUUGGAAUCAGCGUCUGAAAAAACAUAAUAGUUACAACUUUCAACAACGGAUCUCUUGGUUCUGGCAUCGAUGAAGAACGCAGCGAAAUGCGAUAAGUAGUGUGAAUUGCAGAAUUCAGUGAAUCAUCGAAUCUUUGAACGCACAUUGCGCCCCUUGGUAUUCCAUGGGGCAUGCCUGUUCGAGCGUCAUUUGUACCUUCAAGCUCUGCUUGGUGUUGGGUGUUUGUCUCGCCUCUGCGUGUAGACUCGCCUUAAAACAAUUGGCAGCCGGCGUAUUGAUUUCGGAGCGCAGUACAUCUCGCGCUUUGCACUCAUAACGACGACGUCCAAAAGUACAUUUUUACACUCUUGACCUCGGAUCAGGUAGGGAUACCCGCUGAACUUAAGCAUAUCAAUA